rnacentral:misc_RNA from 1 species
AACCAUAGAAACCUGCGGAGUACCUGCGGAAGGAUCAUUAACCUUUCAAAAAACAGGGUGCGUCGCGGCCCCCCUCCGGGGGCGGUUUGGGGUCCUCCCCUUCACGCGCGCACGACUGCAUCCUUACUUUACGAGCACCUUCUGUUCUCCCUCGGCGGGGCAACCUGCCGUUGGAACCGAAUAAACCCUUUUUUGCAUCCAGCAUUACCCGUUCCGAAACAAACAAUCGUUACAACUUUC